ACUCAAAUGAAUUGACGGGGGCCCGCACAAGCGGCGGAGCAUGUUGCUUAAUUCGACGCAACGCGAAGAACCUUACCAAGGCUUGACAUGGCCUCAAAAGCGCCAGAGAUGGCGUGUCCGCAAGGGGGGGUCACAGGUGGUGCAUGGCUGUCGUCAGCUCGUGUCGUGAGAUGUUGGGUUAAGUCCCGCAACGAGCGCAACCCUCGUCCUGUGUUGCCAGCGGGUAAUGCCGGGGACUCACGGGAGACUGCCGGGGUCAACUCGGAGGAAGGUGGGGAUGACGUCAAGUCAUCAUGCCCCUUAUGUCUUGGGCUGCAAACAUGCUACAAUGGCCGGUACAAAGGGCUGCGAUGCCGUGAGGCGGAGCGAAUCCCGGAAAGCCGGCCUCAGUUCGGAUCGGGGUCUGCAACUCGACCCCGUGAAGUCGGAGUCGCUAGUAAUCGCGAAUCAGCAACGUCGCGGUGAAUACGUUCCCGGGCCUUGUACACACCGCCCGU
rnacentral:rRNA from 1 species